CCAACCCAGCCACAAAACCUUUGACAUACAAUCUAUCCUGCCUGCAAGACAUGGGCCAUUUCUUCUCCAGUGCUUCCAAGAAACACACGUACAAAGAUGGAAAUAUGGAUGGAUAGGCAUUAGUGCUGCUCUAUAAAUAUACGCCUCUGGACACACAGCGGGAUUAUACUUUCCUGUUGCUAGAGUCGUGUGACUCAACUCAGUUAAUGCCAUAUAAUAUAGAUUCCACUGAGUAGAGAUAGACAUAGAGGAUGAACAGCAAAGUGAUCACCCUUCUCUGAAGUCAGAAGAGGAAGAAGAGGUGCCCAGAGGAAGCAUGAGGAAGCAUGAGCAGUUGGUUGACUUUUCUAAGGAGGACUCUGACCUUACAAGGUUCCCAUGAAGAUUGUGUAAUUUCCUUGCCGUAUUUCAAACAGAUUUGGGCUAAUGCAUUAUUGACAGCACCCUUGCAGACCAUCUCCACAAUGUCAUUCAGGAUAAUUAUUUCACAACAGAUUUCCAGGGCCUCUGGUUCCUGUUGGGAUUCACUUGGGCAUAAAUUACAGAGCCGAAUAUUUAAUCAGUGUCCCCAUUAGAACCCCGUGGCUUAUUUUUAGGAGCUGAGGAGGGAGAGUGAGGGAGGGAGCGGAUAUUUGUAUUAUUACGGCAUGAAUACACUUCUUCCAUGCUGGA